GGAUAAAAGGAUUGCAGAGCUGGAGAAUGAAAAGUUGACUGGUCGUGAUCUUUGUAAUCUUUGGCUUUGAUGCGUUGAAUAUCCUUUAAAGCUUAAGAUUUCUGAUUUUUGUGCUGAAAACAGGGAUUGUAUCUCUUGGAUUGCUAGUAAGCAACAAGAACUUAAAUUCAAGUUAGUUUUUGAUUUCCAAUUCGAAAUGAAAUCUAUUGGAGGCUCAUGUUAGUGGAUUUUACCACAUAGUGUUUCCUUGAAACUUAGCUAAUGCAUAAUCCUUCCUCAUGGCUUGUCCCUUAUUUGAUCUACUUUAAGUUGUGGAAUAGACAAGUAUUUCUCAAAUAUCUAUACAGUUUCUCUAUUAAACGUUUUCAUGAUUUCAUCUCUUCAAAUGUGACAAUUCUUGUCUGCCCCUGUUAUAAUCUUUAAAGUUUCUACCUUUCUUUGGGAAUAUAAGGCUUAUUAAACACCAAACUGUUUCAGUUAAGGCAUAUGAAGAUUUCUAUACUAAUAAGUUUUUGGAACCAAUCUGUUUUUGGGUUAGUCUAAAGACUUCCCUAGUUUAUUCCUUGACUUUAUUAUGCUUGCACACAUAAAGUAUAUGUGCCAGAUAAAUUUAGCCUUCAAAUGUCUUCGAUGUUAGGCCUUAUGUUAUUUUGGCAGCUUAUAGUUCUGACUAGUGAUGCAUAUGACAACAUGUGGGACUGUGGAUAUUAAUGAAAUUCAUCUGGAGCCGAUAUUAUAGAGUCUUGUUUGUCCUCUACGACAAUCAAAUUGGGAGUGUGGAUAUUAAUGAAAAGGCAUUGAGAAUAAACUUUGGGGCGGUUUUCUUGAAAUUUUCUUAUCUGUAUAAUACUUUCUUUGCGCCAACCCCCCGCUUCUGAUUUCUUAUAAUCAUUAGAGCGUUCAUUCUGGGGCCUCUUUGUGUGUGCAUUCGCUCUUUCAAGAGACACAGCCUUACUUAUUCUGUGAAUUCUUCAGGUUGAAGCUCUAGUAGUGCAGUUGACUCAAAGGGACGGGGAAUUGAUACAAGCUGGCAAAUUUUCUCAAGCAGAUGACAUUCUAAAGAAUGUGGAGUUCGAUGCAUUGAGGAUUGUUUUCCACAAAUUUCAUUCAGUUUGUGCAAUUCAUGCCAACUGUGUCAACUGUACUAUCUCCUGAGAUUGUCGAGAGAGAGGCUGAAUCUGGAGGAAUGCUAGGGGAAUUGGAUUCCUAUGAGAUUGAAGGCGGUGAUUCAAAAUCAGAAAUUCUUCAGAAUCUGGCUGAGUACUUUUUUUCAAAACUUUAUGACACUUGUUUUUGAAGGCGGUGAUUCAAAAUCAG